rnacentral:rRNA from 1 species
GAUGAACGCUGGCGGCGUGCUCCCUACAUGCAAGUCGAACGGACUUUAUAUGAAGCCUAGCGAUUAUAAAGUUAGGGGCGGACGGGUGAGUAACGCGUGCCUAACCGGCCCUGUACCGGGGGACAACAGUUGGAAACGGCUGCUAAUACCGCAUAAGCGCACGGUUCCGCAGGGAACAGUGUGAAAAACUCCGGGGGUACAGGAUGGAUUCGCGUCUGAUUAGCCAGUUGGGGGGGUAACGGCCUACCAAAGCAACGAUCAGUACCCGGCCUGAGAGGGUGAACGGCCACAUUGGGACUGAGACACGGCCCAAACUCCUACGGGAGGCAUUUUUGGGGAAUAUUGCACAAGGGGGGAAACCCUGAGGCAGCGACCCCGCGUGAGUGAAAAAGUUAUUCGUAACGUAAAGCUCUAUCAGCAGGAAAAAAAAUGACGGUACCUGACUAAAAAGCCCCGGCUAACAACUUG